rnacentral:rRNA from 1 species
UACAGAGGGGGCAAGCGUUGUUCGGAAUUAUUGGGCGUAAAGGGCUCGUAGGCGGUCUGUCGCGUCGAAAGUGAAAACUCAGGGCUUAACCCUGAGCCUGCUUCCGAUACGGGCAGACUAGAGGUAUGCAGGGGAGAACGGAAUUCCUGGUGUAGCGGUGAAAUGCGCAGAUAUCAGGAGGAACACCGGUGGCGAAGGCGGUUCUCUGGGCAUUACCUGACGCUGAGGAGCGAAAGUGUGGGGAGCGAACAGG